UGUCAGGCACCCUCCGUGUCGAUCGGGGCUUGUCUGUGUCAUCUGUCUUCUUAAUGACACCUUCCUUCGUUGUUAUUUUUACUUUAAUUGUAAGUUUAAUUUUAAUCUUAACUAUGUUUAUUUCUUUGUUCUCCAUUCUUUAGAUGGCAAGACACUUCAAAAUGCAACCAGUCGUUAAGAUGCUCGAAAGCAGUUUGAGAAGAUAAGUACAUGUGAUUCAAAAGCAAUCAAGUUGUUGUCACGGACGCCCAUUCGUACCAUAACAGACAAUGCGAUACUAUGCAGCUCGUCGGCGACUUUCGGCCGCGUUCGGCUCCGAUUCGACUGUAAGCAGAUUGCCACUCUGACGUAUGUGGCGCGAGACUCGGGCUUUCGGACUCAAACGCUCACAGCAAUAAAUCUUAUGGAGAAUCUCUAUUAAUCCAUUUAAAACCUAAAACUGGCUGCAUCAGAAGCGUUUCGGCAGUUUGCAAACCAUAAAGACUAUUUACAAGCAAACUGACAAACCGAAUAAGCCCAGGACACUGGAAAAUGCUUGAAAAACAUGGAUGUUCCUCAACAGAUUGGUUCUGUGGACUGUGGCGCGUUCAAGUUGAUUGUUGUCACGUCAGGGAUCGGGGAAGCAGGAGCAGGAAGAUGGAGAAUCUGGAAACCAGCUAGGAACACAGGACAAUAGAAGUAGGGACUUAAAUGACUGGACGGGGAAAAUAUAUUUUGACGCGGAGUUAAAUACAUAGAACUAAUGAAAACAACUGGAAACAGCGAAUGACAUGGAGAUUCCACACGAGGUUAACGAGGGGGCGUGGCACACGGGAGGAUCGGACGAGCGCGCGUGACAAUUUGAGUUGGAGGGAUUUGACAAAAACAUCCUUUUAGAAAUGUGUGAGGAAGGUCAAGACUCUGGUCUCCAGCUCACCGCUCUGUGUUACAUUUCCAUGGCCAUUUUGUCUGAUAGUAUCAUUCGAUUUUUCUAUGCUAUAGUUUUUUUGUUUAAUCAUUGCACGGUAUAUAAAUUAUUAUAAAUAAUAGUUUAUUUUCCUCGUGAUGUAUGUGUGCCUAAAAGUAUUAAAUAGAAGUAAAAGUUUCCUCAGUAA